rnacentral:rRNA from 1 species
GGUGAACGCUGGCGGUAGGCCUAACACAUGCAAGUCGAACGGCAGCACAGUAAGAGCUUGCUCUUACGGGUGGCGAGUGGCGGACGGGUGAGGAAUACAUCGGAAUCUACUUUUUCGUGGGGGAUAACGUAGGGAAACUUACGCUAAUACCGCAUACGACCUACGGGUGAAAGCAGGGGAUCUUCGGACCUUGCGCGAUUGAAUGAGCCGAUGUCGGAUUAGCUAGUUGGCGGGGUAAAGGCCCACCAAGGCGACGAUCCGUAGCUGGUCUGAGAGGAUGAUCAGCCGCACUGGAACUGAGACACGGUCCAGACUCCUACGGGAGGCAGCAGUGGGGAAUAUUGGACAAUGGGCGCAAGCCUGAUCCAGCCAUACCGCGUGGGUGAAGAAGGCCUUCGGGUUGUAAAGCCCUUUUGUUGGGAAAGAAAAGCAGCAGGUUAAUACCCCGCUGUUCUGACGGUACCCAAAGAAUAAGCACCGGCUAACUUCGU